rnacentral:rRNA from 1 species
AGAGUUUGAUCCUGGCUCAGGACGAACGCUGGCGGCGUGCCUAAUACAUGCAAGUCGAACGAACUCUGGUAUUGAUUGGUGCUUGCAUCAUGAUUUACAUUUGAGUGAGUGGCGAACUGGUGAGUAACACGUGGGAAACCUGCCCAGAAGCGGGGGAUAACACCUGGAAACAGAUGCUAAUACCGCAUAACAACUUGGACCGCAUGGUCCGAGUUUGAAAGAUGGCUUCGGCUACCACUUUUGGAUGGUCCCGCGGCGUAUUAGCUAGAUGGUGGGGUAACGGCUCACCAUGGCAAUGAUACGUAGCCGACCUGAGAGGGUAAUCGGCCACAUUGGGACUGAGACACGGCCCAAACUCCUACGGGAGGCAGCAGUAGGGAAUCUUCCACAAUGGACGAAAGUCUGAUGGAGCAACGCCGCGUGAGUGAAGAAGGGUUUCGGCUCGUAAAACUCUGUUGUUAAAGAAGAACAUAUCUGAGAGUAACUGUUCAGGUAUUGACGGUAUUUAACCAGAAAGCCACGGCUAACUACGUGCCAGCAGCCGCGGUAAUACGUAGGUGGCAAGCGUUGUCCGGAUUUAUUGGGCGUAAAGCGAGCGCAGGCGGUUUUUUAAGUCUGAUGUGAAAGCCUUCGGCUCAACCGAAGAAGUGCAUCGGAAACUGGGAAACUUGAGUGCAGAAGAGGACAGUGGAACUCCAUGUGUAGCGGUGAAAUGCGUAGAUAUAUGGAAGAACACCAGUGGCGAAGGCGGCUGUCUGGUCUGUAAUUGACGCUGAGGCUCGAAAGUAUGGGUAGCAAACAGGAUUAGAUACCCUGGUAGUCCAUACCGUAAACGAUGAAUGCUAAGUGUUGGAGGGUUUCCGCCCUUCAGUGCUGCAGCUAACGCAUUAAGCAUUCCGCCUGGGGAGUACGGCCGCAAGGCUGAAACUCAAAGGAAUUGACGGGGGCCCGCACAAGCGGUGGAGCAUGUGGUUUAAUUCGAAGCUACGCGAAGAACCUUACCAGGUCUUGACAUACUAUGCAAAUCUAAGAGAUUAGACGUUCCCUUCGGGGACAUGGAUACAGGUGGUGCAUGGUUGUCGUCAGCUCGUGUCGUGAGAUGUUGGGUUAAGUCCCGCAACGAGCGCAACCCUUAUUAUCAGUUGCCAGCAUUAAGUUGGGCACUCUGGUGAGACUGCCGGUGACAAACCGGAGGAAGGUGGGGAUGACGUCAAAUCAUCAUGCCCCUUAUGACCUGGGCUACACACGUGCUACAAUGGAUGGUACAACGAGUUGCGAACUCGCGAGAGUAAGCUAAUCUCUUAAAGCCAUUCUCAGUUCGGAUUGUAGGCUGCAACUCGCCUACAUGAAGUCGGAAUCGCUAGUAAUCGCGGAUCAGCAUGCCGCGGUGAAUACGUUCCCGGGCCUUGUACACACCGCCCGUCACACCAUGAGAGUUUGUAACACCCAAAGUCGGUGGGGUAACCUUUUAGGAACCAGCCGCCUAAGGUGGGACAGAUGAUUAGGGUG